GACGAACGCUGGCGGCGUGCCUAAUACAUGCAAGUCGAGCGAUGAAGCUUGGUUCUUGCACCAAUUUGAAGUGCCGCAAACGGGUGAGUAACGCGUGUGGCAUCCGCCUUUCAGCGGGGUACAACCUUUGGAAACGAAUGCUAAUACCGCAUAACAACUUUAUACAUAAUUUUUAAGUGUGAAAGAUGCAAUUUCAUCACUCACAGAUGAUUCCUCGUUGUGUUAGCUAGUUGGUGAGGUAAAGGCUCAUCAAGGCGAGGAUGCAGAGCCAACCUGAUAGGGUGGUCGGCCACAUUGGGAGGGAGACACGGCCCAAACUCAUACGGGAGGGAGCAGUAGGGAUUCGUCGGCAAUAGACGAAAGUCUGACCGAGCAACGCCGCGUGAGGGAAGAGGGUUUUCGGAUCGUAAAACUCUGUUGGUAGAGAAGAACGUUGGUGAGAGUGGAAAGCUCAGCAAGUGACGGUAACUAGUCAGAAAGGAACGGCUAACUACGUG
rnacentral:rRNA from 1 species